CCCCUCUCAGGUUGGCACCUGGCGAGUUUCCAGUACUCUGCCAGUCUCACCUAAGGGAGAGAAAGUCAAGCAGAGGCCUACCCAUUCCAUUCCUAGCUUGGCCAGUGGCUAGCGAGUGGAAGGCCAUCUGCUUUAAGU